GAUGAACGCUAGCGGCAGGCCUAAUACAUGCAAGUCGAGGGGCAUCCCGGCAGCAAUGCUGGAGCGACCGGCGCACGGGUGCGUAACGCGUAUGUAACCUGCCCUCAACAGGGGGAUAGCCCGUGGAAACAUGGAUUAAUACCCCAUAAAGCAGGGGUGUCGCAUGGCACUAUUUGCUAAAGUUCGCAAGGAUGGUUGAGGAUGGGCAUGCGUCUGAUUAGCUAGUUGGUAGGGUAACGGCCUACCAAGGCUACGAUCAGUAGGGGAUCUGAGAGGAUGAUCCCCCACACUGGUACUGAGAUACGGACCAGACUCCUACGGGAGGCAGCAGUAGGGAAUAUUGGGCAAUGGGCGCAAGCCUGACCCAGCCAUGCCGCGUGCAGGAUGAAGGCCUUCUGGGUUGUAAACUGCUUUUCUACGGGAAGAAACACUCCCUGCGGGGGGCAUUGACGGUACUGUAGGAAUAAGCACCGGCUAACUCCGUGCCAGCAGCCGCAGUAAAAC
rnacentral:rRNA from 1 species